GGCUUCUUGAUCCUAUGUGUUGUAUUGAGUGUUGGUCACUGGUCUUUGGGAAGCUUGGACAGAAGUGGGGCAGCCAUGGAGCUGCUGACUGGGACUGGCCUGUGGCCCGUGGUCAUAGUCACAGUCAUCUUCAUAUUACUGGUGGACAUGUUGCACCGGUGCCAGCGCUGGACUUCUUGCUGCCCACCAGACCCUGUGCCAUGGCCUGUGCUGGGUAACCUGCUGCAGGUGGACCUGGAUAACAUGCCAUAUAACUUGUACAAGGUGUGGUCCUUGCUCCUUAUGGGCCUGAGUGGAAAGAGCAGAGGUGAUUCUCUGCGUCGACCCUGUGCAACUUCAGCCUGGGCAAGAAAUCACUGGAGCAGUGGGUGAUGGAAGAGGUUGGACACCUCUUUGAUGUCUUCACUGCCCAUGCUGGGAGUCCCCUCAAUCCUUACCCUCUCUUGGACAAAGCCGUGUGCAAUGUGAUUGUGUCUCUCAUUUAUGCCCAUCGCUUCGAGUAUGGAGACCCUGACUUCAUCAAGAUGCUAAAAAGGAGGCUGUAGACAAGAGAUUUGGAAAGAACACAUCUAGAAGUGUCCACCACAGUAAUAGGAGCCUGGAGAUUGACAUACAGCAAAAGGAAGUGAGAAGCUGACCAAGGUCAGGGCUUCUAGAAGCUGAGACCCUGGCCCUCUGCCCACAUGGAACAUCUGUGAGAUUUUCCAGGGUUGGCUGACAAAGUCUUCCCUGGGCAAAAGACAUUUCUCAUAAUGGUGGAUAAGCUGGUGACUGAGCACAAGAGGACCUGGAACUCGGACCAGCCGCCUCGAGACCUGACUGAUGCCUUUAUGGCUGAGAUGGAGAAGGCAAAGGGAAACCCUGAGAGUAGCUUCAAUGAUGCAAAUCUAUGUCUGGUUGUCCUUGACCUGCUGGGUGCUGCAACUGUGACCACCUCAACCACACUGUCCUGGGCCCUGCUGCUUAUGAUCCUGCAUCCGGAUGUGCAGUGCCAAGUACAACAGGAAAUCGAUGAGGUCAUUUGGUAUGUGUGGCUUCCAGAGAUGGCAGACCAGGUCUGCAUGCCCUUCACCAAUGCUGUCAUUCAUGAGGGCAUGACUCUCAUCUCCAACCUGUUCCGUGCUGAAGGAUGAGACUGUCUGGGAGAAGCCCCUUCGCUUCCAUCCUGAACACUUCCUGGAUGCCCAGGGCCACUUUGUGAAGCCUGAGGCCUUCAUGCCAUUCUCAGCAGGCCACAGAUCAUGCCUGGGGGAGCCCCUGGCCCUCAUGGAGCUCUUCCUCUUCUUCACCUGCCUCCUGCAGCGCUUUAGCUUCUCAAUGCCAGCUGGACAAUCCCUUCCCAGUGAUUAUGGCAUCUAUACAAUGCCAGUUACUCCAGCACCUACCAGCUCUGUGCAGUGGUUUGCUAGCAGGGGCAGUGGCUCCAGCCAUCAUCACAGAUUGUUCUGACUGAUGUCCAAUAAACAAGUUUUGUGUC
rnacentral:lncRNA from 1 species